rnacentral:rRNA from 1 species
AGAGUUUGAUCCUGGCUCAGAACGAACGCUGGCGGCAGGCCUAACACAUGCAAGUCGAGCGCUACCUUCGGGUGGAGCGGCGGACGGGUUAGUAACGCGUGGGAAUAUACCCUUCACUAUGGAAUAGCCUCGGGAAACUGAGAGUAAUACCAUAUACGCCCUUCGGGGGAAAGAUUUAUCGGUGAAGGAUUAGCCCGCGUAAGAUUAGAUAGUUGGUGGGGUAAUGGCCUACCAAGUCUACGAUCUUUAGCUGGUUUUAGAGGAUGAUCAGCAACACUGGGACUGAGACACGGCCCAGACUCCUACGGGAGGCAGCAGUGGGGAAUCUUAGACAAUGGGCGAAAGCCUGAUCUAGCCAUGCCGCGUGAGUGAUGAAGGUCUUAGGAUCGUAAAGCUCUUUCGCUAGGGAUGAUAAUGACAGUACCUAGUAAAGAAGCCCCGGCUAACUCCGUGCCAGCAGCCGCGGUAAUACGGAGGGGGCUAGCGUUGUUCGGAAUUACUGGGCGUAAAGCGUACGUAGGCGGAUCAGAAAGUAUGGGGUGAAAUCCCAGGGCUUAACCCUGGAACUGCCUCAUAAACUCCUGGUCUUGAGUUCGAGAGAGGUGAGUGGAAUUCCAAGUGUAGAGGUGAAAUUCGUAGAUAUUUGGAGGAACACCAGUGGCGAAGGCGGCUCACUGGCUCGAUACUGACGCUGAGGUACGAAAGUGUGGGGAGCAAACAGGAUUAGAUACCCUGGUAGUCCACACCGUAAACGAUGAAUGCCAGGUGG